rnacentral:rRNA from 1 species
AAUAGAUACCCGGGUAGUCCACGCCGUAAACGAUGAGUGCUAAGUGUUAGGGGGUUUCCGCCCCUUAGUGCUGCAGCUAACGCAUUAAGCACUCCGCCUGGGGAGUACGGUCGCAAGACUGAAACUCAAAGGAAUUGACGGGGGCCCGCACAAGCGGUGGAGCAUGUGGUUUAAUUCGAAGCAACGCGAAGAACCUUACCAGGUCUUGACAUCCCGUUGACCACUGUAGAGAUAUAGUUUCCCCUUCGGGGGCAACGGUGACAGGUGGUGCAUGGUUGUCGUCAGCUCGUGUCGUGAGAUGUUGGGUUAAGUCCCGCAACGAGCGCAACCCUUGAUCUUAGUUGCCAUCAUUUAGUUGGGCACUCUAAGGUGACUGCCGGUGACAAACCGGAGGAAGGUGGGGAUGACGUCAAAUCAUCAUGCCCCUUAUGACCUGGGCUACACACAUGCUACAAUGGACGAUACAAACGGUUGCCAACUCGCGAGAGGGAGCUAAUCCGAUAAAGUCGUUCUCAGUUCGGAUUGUAGGCUGCAACUCG